ACACACAUUAAAGAGUUUAAAUAAGAUUUAUUCAGAGACACACAUUAUUUCUCUCCUCUCAACCAAAACUACUUCUCUCCUCAUUCAUCUCUCCUUUAAACCAAAACACCCACCACCACCAUAUAUUUGUUCCAAAUUAAACACCCAUUACUAUUGCAGAAAAGGUUAUCAAAUCCGGCGUGUGAGACAUGUUUUGGUGGUGGUUGUCAACGAUAUGAACAAAUCGGAACAUAUGGGUUUUAGCUCUGAGCGAAUCGGAAAAUCUCUACAACUCGGUUCAGAUCUGAACAAAUAGGAACACAUCCAUGUUGAUGCAAGUUCGUGUUUGUUGGGUUCAUAUCCGAACAAAUCGGGUGGAGAUUUGGUGGUGUUUGCUAAGUUUUAGGUUGAUGGAAUACUGCUGGAAAUGGUUUAGGACUCUAGAAACCCGCCUAAACUUAAUUGCAAGUUUUGUUAUGUUAUGUUUUGUUGCUUGAGAAACUACUGGAAUCCGUUUCGUUUUUGUGAGAAUGUUUGUUUGAUUGUAUGGGAAAUUGAACCUUAUUAAAUAUUGUCACAAUUAGUCGUUGUGGAUU